GAUGAACGCUAGCGACAGGCUUAACACAUGCAAGUCGAGGGGCAGCAUAAAAGUAGCAAUACUUUGGUGGCGACCGGCGCACGGGUGAGUAACGCGUAUGCAACCUACCUAUCAGAGGGGGAUAACCCGGCGAAAGUCGGACUAAUACCGCAUAAAACAGGGGCACCGCAUGGUGAUAUUUGUUAAAAAUUUAUUGCUGAUAGAUGGGCAUGCGUUCCAUUAGGUAGUUGGAGAGGUAACGGCUCACCAAGCCUACGAUGGAUAGGGGAACUGAGAGGUUGGUCCCCCACACUGGUACUGAGACACGGACCAGACUCCUACGGGAGGCAGCAGUGAGGAAUAUUGGUCAAUGGGCGAGAGCCUGAACCAGCCAAGUCGCGUGAAGGAAGAAGGAUCUAUGGUUCGUAAACUUCUUUUGCAGGGGAAUA
rnacentral:rRNA from 1 species